CAAUAGCGUAUAUUAAAGUUGUUGCAGUUAAAAAGCUCGUAGGUGGAUUUCUGGUUGAAGCGACCGGUCGGGCGUUGAUUCGUCUGCACUGGAGUCGGUUUUGGCCAUCCUCUAGGAAAGUGCGUCUGGUAUUAAGUUAUCGGGCGUAUGAUCCUGGUCUUUUACUGUGAAAAAAUUAGAGUGUUUAAAGCAGGCCUUCGCCUUGAAUACAUUAGCAUGGAAUAAUAAGAUAGGACUUUGGUCUAUUUUGUUGGUUUGCAGACCGAAGUAAUGAUUAAUAGGGAUAGUUGGGGGUAUUUAUAUUCCGAUGUCAGAGGUGAAAUUCUUAGAUUUUCGGAAGAUAAACUUAUGCGAAAGCAUUUACCAAGGAUGUUUUCAUUAA
rnacentral:rRNA from 1 species